CCCCCCCCUGUUUUUUCGCCUAUAAAAACAGGGGAGGAAGAGGAGAAAAAAAGAGAACAGAAGGGAGAAGAGGAAGGGAGAGAAGGGAGAAGACCGAGAGAAGAGGAGAAAGAAGAGAAGAAAAGAAGAAAAAACAGAGGAGAGAGAGAGAAGGAACACAGCCGGCCACCGUGCCUCCGCCACCAUCGCCUCCGCUGCCACCAGCAGCACCGCCUCGACGCCACCGCAGGUAACCCCGUUGCCCCGUCUCCUUCUCCUUUUGCUGCUGCCUUCUCUCUUUUAUUUUCAUGCAG
rnacentral:lncRNA from 1 species